AUUGAACGCUGGCGGCAGGCCUAACACAUGCAAGUCGAGCGGAUGAAGGGAGCUUGCUCCUGGAUUCAGCGGCGGACGGGUGAGUAAUGCCUAGGAAUCUGCCUGGUAUUUGGGGAUAACGUCCGGAAACGGGCGCUAAUACCGCAUACGUCCAGAGGGAGAAAGUGGGGGAUCUUCGGACCUCACGCUAUCAGAUGAGCCUAGGUCGGAUUAGCUAGUUGGUGGGGUAAAGGCCUACCAAGGCGACGAUCCGUAACUGGUCUGAGAGGAUGAUCAGUCACACUGGAACUGAGACACGGUCCAGACUCCUACGGGAGGCAGCAGUGGGGAAUAUUGGACAAUGGGCGAAAGCCUGAUCCAGCCAUGCCGCGUGUGUGAAGAAGGUCUUCGGAUUGUAAAGCACUUUAAGUUGGGAGGAAGGGCAGUAAGUUAAUACCUUGCUGUUUUGACGUUACCAACAGAAUAAGCACCGGCUAACUUCGUG
rnacentral:rRNA from 1 species